UUAACGCAGUGAAACACGUACAUAUGUGCUGGGUGGUUAGGGUCGCCAGCUCUCACGCAUCUGGCGUGACACUCAGGCUUUCAGACUCUCACGUUCAGGCAAGAAAUCUUACGGCAAACCGAUAUUAUAUCAUCAUAAACCUAAGAUACAUCAGAAGUGUUGGGGUAGUUUGUAAACCCCACAGAUUAUUUGCAAGGGCCACAAGAUGCAACCAGAGAUGAAGAACAUCGCUUGCUCAGAAAUUUUUAUCAAGAUGGCAGAGGAAGUGCCGUCUCUGCAUAAUUUUAAGCAGAAAACAAUAUCCAGUUACACAAGUAGACUCAAGUUUGGGGUGAACUGCCCCUUUAAGGGCGAUGCCAAGGAAGAGGACUUGACUGGAAACAAGAGGACAAUUUGUAGCGAGUUUACUUCCACAUCUAUGAGUGUCUCCUGCUGAGCAGCAUGGCGGUGCAUUUGGCUAGAGGUGAAAGCAUGUCCUCCUCGGUGCCACGAGGCCCCCUGGGUGCUGGAGGCUUCCUCUGCUGUAACGACUUGCAAAGACAGCCUGCCCGACACCCUCCAUGUUCCCGGUCCCAGCUGUGCGGGUCAGCAGAAUUUGCUGAUUCUGGGAUUUCUUCGCUCUUCUACAACUCAUCUCCAGGCUCAGAAUGGCGGUGGCAGCCUCAACUGGGGGCCUAAGUGACCCUGACCUCUGUUCUGGCUGCUGAAUUUUACAUUUAAAUUCCAAAAUGACUAGAAAGACCAGUCCGGAUGAUUUGAAAAUGCAGUUCCUCUCAACAGUUAAGUAGCUGGAUCACUGGCUACCCAAAGGUUAUGGGAUCUCAACCUACUCUUUGGCCACUGGAAUUUCCCUGUAAAGUUCAAUUACCAUAUGGGGCUGUAUUUCAUUGCCCAAAGUGAUUAUUCUUCAAGGUUCACCAGCUGGAGACCAACUGGAGCACUGGGGUGUAAGGUUUAUGAACAGAGACUAAAAGUAUAUCCACAGGAGAACCAAUGAAAAGGAAACAUCUUCAAUAAUUUAACUGUCUGGGCGGAUUUCAGCUGACCUUUAACGCAGGGCGGGGAUGCAGAGAACUCGAAAAUGGCACUUUUUUAAUGAAUUGCAGCCAGUGCAUUGGACCAUUUAUGCUUGUAUGAUGCUCCCUCAGGGAAUUGGAAGAGAAGGAAUAAAGAGAGAGAGAGAGAGAGAGAGAGAGAGCACCAAAUGCUGACCAGGUGUGAGUCUCAAUUGGAGAGGGGCUUAGCGAAACUCAGGCCUGCAGGGAAGAGGUCCGGGCACGUGGGGUGACUUACAGUACUUACUGAAGCACCCCCAUCAGGCCGGUUAUGUGUGUCACCACAACCGCGGGACGACUCGUCAGUGACAGACGGCCAGGAGGUUCACAGCCCGGUCGGGGAGCCCAGGGCUCUUGCAGAUAUAGGACCUUGAAAACAGCCUCAGGAUGGGUAAGACAGUGGUGAAUCGCGGCUUCAUGCACCACGCCUGGGAUGGGGCCGCGGCUUUUACAUCUGCCAGAGACAGCCAGCCAGCUGGACUCUGUGGGCAACAGGAAACCCACACAGAGCAGCCCCCCCCCCCAACUGCCACCCAGCCAACCGAGAGGAACGCCUAAUAGGAACAGAUUGAUACAGUGAGGAAAGAAGACAGAGGCUCGCAAUUCAGGAAGAUAGCAUGAUAGCUGCACAGAUAAAGGUCCAUUUUAAAUCCCACGAGUGGCCCUGCUGUUGGAGGCUUUUAAGCUGAAUCACUUGAGUAAAACAUAUGUGAAUAGCCAUGUCAGGGGCGAGGAGGAGGCAGGCUGACCUUGUGUGACUUUGGGAAGCCGCUGGCUGACCCCCACCAGACCCGCAGGGAGGAGACAGGAAGGAUCCAUGCAUGCCGCACUCCGGAUGGGUCUGGAGGCACAGGGGCCCCCAUUUUCCAUAUAAAUAAGAUGGAUUGUGCCCCACAGUGUAGGGGGGGGGGGCAUUUCUUACCUCCUUAGACAGCAUAUUUGAGGGCAAGCUAUCGUCUUCGAAAUGGGCGAUUAGUCAGAAGAGGACAGGAAUGUUUCCACUGGAAGUCCAGGUGAUGUCAUACUGACUCUGAUGUAAUUCACUGACAUGCAUUAAACAAAAUUAAUCGGAGGAGUUUAGAUUUUGGCACUUGCAACACUAAAACAAAAAAAUUUUAAACUGUACAUUUUUAAAUGAAGGAACCCCCUCCCGCUGUUGAUAUUAAUGAGAACUUUGGACAAAAAUGUGC